GGACUACUCGGGUUUCUAAUCCCGUUCGCUCCCCUGGCUUUCGCGUCUCAGCGUCAGGUGGGGUCCAGAACCGCGCUUUCGCCGCGGGCGUUCCUCACGAUCUCAACGCAUUUCACCGCUCCACCGUGAGUUCCCGAUUCCCCUACCCCCCUCCAGGCCGGUCGUAUCGAUGCCACUUCCCCGGUUAAGCCGGGGGAUUUCAGCUCUCGACGUGCCGGCCCGCCUACACGCGCUUUAAGCCCAGUAAUUCCGAAUAACGUUCGCACGGUUCGUCUUACCGCGGCUGCUGGCAC
rnacentral:rRNA from 1 species